GUCUGGUGGCAUUAGCAGGCCACAACUCAGUGGACCUCCGGCCUAAAGCUGGCAGGUUACUGCUGAAUGACAGAAAAUAGGCCUACAGUACACUGGCCCUCAGCCUUGUAGUACUCAACCUGUCCUCAUAUGCCCAAUGUUGUCAUAUGUUAGGCCUGUAGCUACCCGCAGACAAUCAUAUUGCAUUUGUUUGUAAACAUUUACAACUGGUGAAUCAUUAUUUCUGAAUGGCUUAUUACAGUGUUAUUACAAUGUAGAAGGUGGUGUUUCUGUUUUGUUUUUAUCAGAACGCAGGGUUGCAUAGCUACUGGAUCUAAUGAUACAUUGUAAUGCUUGUGGUGGCUUGUUUUAAAAUAAUACUUGUGGUGGCUUAUUUCAUUAUAAGGAUUGUGGUGUCUUGUUUUAAAAUAAUACUUGUGGUGGCUUGUUUCAUUAUAAUGCUUGUGGUGUCUUGUUUCAUCAUAAUGCUUGUGGUGCCUUGUUUCAUCAUAAUGCUUGUGGUGCCUUGUUUCAUCAUAAUGCUUGUGGUGGCUUGUUUCAUCAUAAUGCUUGUGGUGGCUUGUUUCAUUAUAAUGCUUGUGGUGGCUUGUUUCAUCAUAAUGAUUGUGGUGGCUUGUUUCAUCAUAAUGCUUGUGGUGUCUUGUUUCAUCAUAAUGUUUGUGGUGUCUUGUUUCAUUAUAAUGCUUGUGGUGGCUUGUUUCAUUAUAAUGCUUGUGGUGGCUUGUUUCAUCAUAAUGAUUGUGGUGGCUUGUUUCAUCAUAAUGCUUGUGGUGUCUUGUUUCAUCAUAAUGUUUGUGGUGUCUUGUUUCAUUAUAAUGCUUGUGGUGGCUUGUUUCGUCAUAAUGCUUGUGGUGGCUUGUUUCAUUAUAAUGCUUGUGGUGUCUUGUUUCAUUAUAAUGAUUGUGGUGUCUUGUUUCAUCAUAAUGCUUGUGGUGUCUUGUUUCAUUAUAAUGAUUGUGGUGGCUUGUUUCAUCAUAAUGCUUGUGGUGGCUUGUUUCAUUAUAAUGAUUGUGGUGGCUUGUUUCAUUAUAAUGAUUGUGGUGGCUUGUUUCACUAUAAUGAUUGUGGUGGCUUGUUUUAAAACAAUGCUUGUGGUGUCUUGUUUCAUCAUAAUGCUUGUGGUGGCUUGUUUCAUUAUAAUGAUUGUGG
rnacentral:lncRNA from 1 species